rnacentral:rRNA from 1 species
UUGUAGCUGGCAGUUUAUUCUGCAUGUGCCCGCCCGUCAUUUUUAUAUUUCCACCUGUGCACUUUCUGUAGACAAAAAAAAAAAGAGUUAUGGAGGUUAUUUACUGGAAAGUUAUAUUCCUUUACUUUUCUUUUUUUGUCUAUGUUUUAUCAUAUACUCCAAAAAAUGUAACAGAAUGUAUCAAUGGGCUUUAAAGCCUAUAAUUAAAAAACUAUACAACUUUCAGCAACGGAUCUCUUGGCUCUCGCAUCGAUGAAGAACGCAGCGAAAUGCGAUAAGUAAUGUGAAUUGCAGAAUUCAGUGAAUCAUCGAAUCUUUGAACGCACCUUGCGCUCCUUGGUAUUCCAGGGAGCAUGCCUGUUUGAGUGUCAUUAAAUUCUCAUCUUUAACAAUUUGUUAAAGUUGGAUUUGGGGGUUUAUUUGUUGGCUUUUUAGUCAACUCCCCUGAAAUGCAUUAGCCGGUUUGCCUUGACUUGGUCUAUUUGGUGUGAUAAUUAUCAACGCCAUUUGGAUUGUCUUGUAGCACUGCUUCUAAUGGUCCAUUUAACUUGGACAAUUUACUCUUUGACAACU